AGUUGAUGAUCACCUUAGAUGACGAGUCAGAUUUCGUGCUUCACGCUGAUGACAACCUUUUUUUUAUAACCAUUCAUGCAAUACUGAUG
rnacentral:snoRNA from 1 species